AUGCUGAGAGGCUGGCUUUUCUCCACUAAUACCACCUGCAAUCCCAAAAUACAUCUCUGGAUUCUGAGGAGUUAUUCUCAUAAACGGUGAUUGUGUCCAGAACACCGUUUUCUUUGAGAAUCUCAAGAUAACCGCUCCAUUUUGCUGGUAAGCCAUCAGCAAAUCUCUUCACCAUUUCUUGUGGAGUGGCAGUGACUCUGAAGGCAAACAUUUCACUCAACAGAUGAUGGAAUCUUGUAGAUAAUUCUGCCAAACCCUCGUUCUCCAUACACGUGAAACCUUCAAACUCUUUCUUCAGCAGCUCUUGCUUGAUCUUCCUCGAUUGAGCGUUUCCUUCACACCGUAACGUGAGCAUAUCCCACAAGCUUUUAGUAGUUGUACAGUAAACGAACUGGUGGUAUAUGUCUCUGUGAAGAGCUUGCGUGAGAAUCAUGAAUGCUUUCUUUUCCAACUCAAAUUUCUUCUUAUCAUCAUCAGACAUUGUGCUGUAAGUUUCUGGAUUCGAUCCUGCAACUUCCAACUCAUUUUCAAAUGGAGUGAAGAAACACAUCCAUAGAUCUUAACCUUCUUUGGCGGUUUUGUGCUUGUACCAGUUUCACUGUCGUUCUGCAUCAUUGCUUG
rnacentral:lncRNA from 1 species